CCUACUCGUUCAUACCCAAAUCCCCUGGGGAGAGGCAGCGCACGAACAGAUUUUUCCCCAGCGGCGGCGGCGGCGGCGACCCAGAUCCCUUUUGCAAGCUAGACGAGUACUCCCUGCUCCAGAUCUCCCAAUGGCUCCUUGCCGUUGUGUGGCUGGCGGCCCAGUUUGAGACUGGACCAGAUUGGAGCUCGUCAGCCCCCAACCUCCGUUCCACACUGUCCUCGUCGCAACCUCCGUUCUGAAGGUCCGAUAGUUCUAGCUAGGUAGAUUGAACUGAUAAAUGUAUAAGAGUCCAUGGAGGUUGUCAUCUCUCACAGCAGAUGAUGCUCGAUUACUAGGAAGCACUAAAACAGGAGGGAAAAUGAUAGAUCUUUCUCUCAUGUACUAUCAAGAUGCAUGUUGGGCAGUGAUAAUUUCAGUCCUUAACAUUUCGUCCUGCCGGCCAUGUACUAAAAAUGAUCUAUGUACGCCUCUUGUGUUAUGUUCCCAUGUAUUCAAAUACUAAUUUCGGUCCUUAAGUUGCUCAUGCAUUCGGAUACUUCCCAGUUUGA